UAACCUAUACGUACAUUUUACACAAAUUA
rnacentral:sRNA from 1 species